rnacentral:rRNA from 1 species
AUGAGUUACAACAGCUUCCUCUUCAUCAGCAAAACCAGGUUAUGGAAAACUCUCUCACUGCUAGGUAUGAGCAAACUCUCACAGCUUAAUAAAUUCUAUAAGCAACGUAGCAAGAAGAAUUGGGUAAUUAAGGGUGAUUGUAAUACUAAAUUUUUUCACCAAGCUGUUCUUAAACAUAGAAAGAGAAAUACUAUUUGUUCAAUCAAAGAUGAGCAUGACAUAAUCCAUUUCAAACCUGUCGCCAUCAUGCAAACUUUUGUUAACUAUUUUAACAACAUGGACAUGCCUUUCCCUCUCACCCAAUGGUCUAAUGAUAAUGACAAUCCUACUUAUUUUGUCCCUGAUAAAGAUGAGAUUUUUCAGAUUCUUAAGGACAUGAAACUCAAUGCUUCUCCAGGGCCAGAUGGCUUCAAUGUGGAAUUUUAUUUAGCUACUUAGGAUUGGAUUGGAGAUGAGGUAACUCAGCUUGUGUCUAAUUUUUAUUCUACUGCCACUCUUCCUUCUCAUAUUAAUGACACCAAUAUUGCUCUCAUCCCUAAAAAGUUGGUCCUCUUGUGCCCAUGGAUUAUAGGCGUGUUAGUCUUUGUAAUGUGCUCUAUAAAAUCAUUGUUAAAUCUUUGGCUAAUCGGCUCAAACCUCACCUUCCAGAUUUUAUUGACCCUAUUCAACAAGCUUUAUUGA